AGCCGAAGUUUACACACAGGUGUAAACGGCAUUGCAAGUUUAGAGAAGAUGAGAAUGAGACUAGGGUAGUUGAGAUGAGUAGAGUUGAGCUGAGAUACGAUACUUCUAUUUAAUCAUACUGCCUAAAAGAGCACCCCUCUUUUAGGCUUUUUUC
rfam:Bacillus pumilus SAFR-032, complete genome.